UACUUUAAAGCCAAGUGGCUGUGAGCGAGC
rnacentral:piRNA from 1 species